rnacentral:lncRNA from 1 species
GUGAGACUGUGAAUUCUUCAAAAGCAGGUACUGUGUUUAAUGAAGUGUGCCCAGGACUUUGCUCAGUGACUGGAUGACACAGUAGGAGUAACAAGAAAGUUCACAUGGGUGAACCGUGAAGCAUUUUCUAAAACAAGGUGCAGCAAUCAGUUGAGUGAAUUUGUCACCAGAGCUUAUGUUUUCUGAAAGAACCCUAUCCUCAGGCAGUUGUUCCUAAGAGGUCAGGCUGCAUUUGUAUCCUGGGUCCACAAGACAUCGUUUCCUUAAAACCAAUCCCCCUGAUUUUGCUAAGUGUCUGCAAGCCUAAUAUUUCAUGGAUGUUUGACAAGGACCCCGUCUUUAGCUGAACUAAGGAGAAAGUCCUGCAACACACACAUGGAGCUCAGCAAACGGAGGAUGUAACGCACAUGAAAUUUGGUGCUGUGACUCGGAUUGGGGGACCUCCCUUGGGAGAUCAAUCCCCUGUCCUCCUGUUCUUUGCUCCAUGGGAAAGAUCCACCUACGACCUCAGGUCCUCAGACCGACCAGCCCAAGGAACAUCUCACCAAUUUUAAAUCGGGACCCCACUGGAAAUCGGACUGUUCAACUCACCUGGCAGCCACUCACAGAGCCCGUGGAACUCUGGCCCAAGGCUCUCUGACUCCUUCUCGGCUUAGCGGCUAAAGACUGACACUGCCCGAUCGCCUCGGAAGCCCCGUAGACCAUCACGGACGCCGAGCUUUAGGUAACUCUCACAGUGGAGGAUGAAGAAACUGAGGUCCAGAGAAGUUAAACGACCUUCCUAAGAUUACACAGCUUAGUAAGUGGCAGAACCACAGCUGGAAGCCAGGUCCUUCCUCACGCAAGUCCUGGCUCAUUCAUUCCUCUUCCAAAGACUUGCUGAGCACCUUCUAGGUGCCAGAUGCGGUGCUGGCUCCUGGGGACAUGGGAGUGAACAGGCCAGGCGUGGCCCUGAACCAUCAAAUAGACAACCACAGAAAUAACAACGAAUGAUGCUGGAGGCUGACGAAGAUAAGGGUGGAAAGUGGGCAAUAAAUCAGGAGCUGUUGCAACAUUCCCAGCAAAGGAUAAUGGUGAAUAACAAAGACAAAACCGGGCCCUUCCACACAGUAGCUGGAACACAAAGGAAGAUCAGCCAAGCCUCAACAUAAUCUCAUAAAAAUUCUUCAAAUAUCCCAUUGUUAUGGAUUCAUACAUCAGGAAAGCAGAUGCCAAGAACCUGAACACCUUCUACUGGUAACAUAUAUUUUGGCGAGCCAGCCUGGAGACAAGACCACUAUGGGCAACUUCCUGUCUAUUCUACCUGGUGUCACUGUGGACAACUUCCUAUCUAUUCCACCCGAUUCACCGCUUGGCUACAUCCUCCACCAUUGGGAUGAAUUUGACCCUAACAAUCUAAAGAAAAGGCAUAUGAUUUUUUACUGCAAUAUUGUUUGACACAAUUAUGAGCUGCCCAAUCCGGAACAAUGGGCAGUCAAUGGUAGCCUUAAUUAUGAUACCAUCCUGUAUCUAGACCUAUUUUACAAGAGGCAGGGCAAAUGGUCAGAAGUCCCACAUAUACAGGCCUACAUGACCCUAUACGAAGACCUAAGAAUCUAGGAAACUCCCAGAACCCAUCCCCCGAAGGAAAGUUCUGGGGCAGAACUAGAUAUUAUAGAUGAACCCCCUUUUACAAGGGAUACCUGUCUCUCAGAGUGAGCAGUGACUGUCCCCAUAUAACCCCUCACCAAGUGCUCCUGAGGCUGAAACCCAGGGGCAAACAUGGGGAACCCUACUAAGUCCCCCUCACACUUGGAGGGGAACACUGUAUUCAACUCUCUAUCCAGCCCUGCUACUCUCAGAGAAAUAGCAGGGGCUGAGGGGCCAAUCCUAGUGUGGGUCCCCUUCUCUAUGAUUGAUAUACAACAAUGUAAGGAAAAGCUAGGAAGCUAUUCUGAGGAUUCCGGGAAGUUUGCAGAUGGGUUCCAAACUUUGACCUUAGCCUUUGAUCUCUCAUGGAGAGACGUUCAAUUCACUCUAGCAACCUGUUGCACCUCCUCGGAAAAGGAACGAAUCUUUGAGGCUGCCCUCCGAGAAGUGGACGAAUUAUUCACCCAAAACCGUAAAGGCAGUCACCCAGGCCCAGCCACAGUUCCCACUACGCAUCCUAAUUGAGACCAAGACACCCCCGCAGGAAGGAACAACUGGGCUAAAUUUCUUGAGGCUCUUGGAGGAAUGAGAAAGGGAAUAACUAAGGCAGUAAAUUAUGAUAAAGUAAGGCAGAUUACACAAGGCAGGGAGGAAAACCCAGCUGUGUUUUACGGCAGGCUGCGGGAAGCCUUUAAAAAAUAUAUACUAAUUUGGUCCCUUCCUCUCCUGAAGGCAAGUUAUUAAUGGCACAACGUUUCAUUAGCCAAUCCACACCAGACAUUAGACGUAAGCUCCAAAAGCUACACAUGGGGCCACAAACUAACCAAAAUCAGCUUCUUGGUACUGCCUUCAUGGUGUAUAACAAUCGUGACCUGGAGGAAGGAGAAGGGAAACAGAGUAAAGAAAAACGGCAAGCCAAAAUUAUGUUAGCCAUCACUGGUGAUGCCCUAAAUGCACAAAGAUUGUCCAAGGGAAACUCAAAGGGCCAUAAGGAUAAUGCCAGCAAAGGCUCUUGCUUCAAAUGCAAUAAAAGUGCGAUUGGGCACAGGAAUCCACUAAGCCCCCGCCAGUCCCCUGCCGUCAAUGUAAAAGCACCAGUUGUGGCUCCUGGCCCUGGAGAAUUGACUGUCCCUGCUCCCACCAAGGGGCUCAGUCAGUCAAAACUCUGGCAGUGCACAAGGAGGAAUCAGAUGAAGACUGAAGGGGCCUGGGGCCUUCCUCACUGCCCCGUCUAGGAACAUUGUAAUUACUACUGAGGAACCCUGGGUAACUCUGGACAUCAUGGCCACCCAAAUUCAGUUUUUAUGUGAUACCAAGGUGAAUUAUUCUGUACAACUGCUUAUGCAGGAAAACUUUCCUCCCGGUCCAUGAGUGAUAUUGGAUGGAAGGGAAGCCACAAACAAGAUUCUUACUCCUCCUUUGGUUUGUCAAUUUGAGAAACAAAUCUUCCAACAGGAAUUUUUAGUAGUACCAAGCUGCCCAAUUCCCCUGUGGGAAAGAGAUAUUAUGGUGAAAAUAGUGACACUACUGCAAUUUAAGCAAUAUUAGCAGGUGAAACUGCUAAUAGUAAGAAAUAAGGCAAUGUCCCAGACCAUGUCAAUAAACAGGUUAACCCACUGGCAUGGUAUACUGGAAACCCAGGGAAGGCUAAAACAGCAGUGCCAGUCAAAAUACAGCUUAAAGACCCCAGCCAUUUUCCCAAUGGAAAACAAUACCCAGUUGAACAGGAAGCAAGCAAAGGUCUAGCUCCCAUAGUUGAGAUAUUACUUACCCAUGGACUCUUAAAACCCUGCAAUUCUCCCUGCAAUACCCCCAUCUUACCUGUUCUCAAGCCUGGGGGGAAUACCAGCUAGUACAGAACCUCAGAAUAAUGAAUGAGGCUGUUAUCCCCGUCCACCCAUUGGUGGCAGAUCCAUAUGCCCUCCUGGCUCAGGUGCCAGGGCAUGCAAAAUGGUUCUCAGUCCUAGACCUUUCUUCUCCAUUCCUCUGGCCCCGAGCCCCCCAGUACCUUUUUGCUUUCGAAUGGGAAAAUCCUAAUACCAGAUAAAAACAAUACACUUGGACAGUGCUUCCUCAGGGCUUUCGGGAUAGCCCCCACUUCUUUGCCUGAGCAUUAGAGCGGGAUCUGAGGGAUUUCAAGUUAGAAAAUGGAGGUAUUCUUCAGUAUGGGGAUGACCUUGUGUGUAGCCCAACCUAGGAGGUUUCUGACCAAAAUACUAUAAAAACUUUGAAUUUCCUGGCAGACAGAGGAUACAAAGUGUCCAAAAAGAAGGCUCAGAUUACCCUCCAAUGGGUCCACUAUUUAGGAUAUGUCUUAACACCCGGAACCCGGCAAAUAUCCCCAGAAGGAGUGCAAGCUAUAUGUGGUUUGGCCGCGUGCACCACCCCCAGCCCCCACCCUGACCCACCUCCAAGCAGCAGCUUUGUUCCUUUUUGGGGAUGGCCGGGCUUUGGAGAAUAUGAGUACCAAAUUUUGGGCUCAUAGCAAAGCCCCUAUAUGAAGCAACAAGGGGGCCUGAAAAUGAGCUAAUGGAAUGGACCCCGGAAAUGAGGAAAGCCUUUGCCAAGUUAAAACAGGUUCUCACCCAGGCUCCUGCUCUUGGUAUCCCAGACCUAAUUAAGGCCUUCUCCUUGUAUGUAGCAGAGAAGAGGGGCAUAGCUGUGGGAGUGCUAGCCCAGAAAUUAGGAUCAGAACCCAGACCAACCGCCUACUUCUCAAAAAAGUUGGACGGAGUGGCCUCAGGAUGGCCAAGUUGCCUGCGGGCAAUAGCAGCCACUGCUGUUAGUGGAGGAAGCCACUAAAAUCACCCUAGGGCAACCACUGGAAGUUCUAACGCUCCAUCAGGUAAAGUUAGUCUUAGAAAUAAAGGGACACAUCUGGAUGACAGGGGAAAUGUUAACUAAAUACCAGCCCAUGCUCCUAGACAAUCCAGAUAUAACUCUUAAAACCUGCAACACUUUAAAUCCAGCUUCAUUGCUGCCCACAGGCCCAAUAAUUGAUCAUUCCUGUGAGCAGGUCAUUGCACAUACAUAUGUUAGCCAGCCUGAUUUAAAAGAUGAGGCUCUCCCAGAUUCUGAAGCUGACCGGCUCACAGACGGCAGUAGUUCUUUGUCGAAUGGGGAGCACAGAGCUGGAUAUGCAGCAGUAAAUCAUGACACAAUUAUUGAAGCCCAGCCAGUGCCCCCUGGCACAUCAGCACAAAAGGCUAAAAUCAUUGAUCUUACUCAAGCAUUAAUGUUGGGACAAGGGAAAAAACUUAACAUCUAUACAGAUUCUAAAUAUGCAUUCCUUGUGGUUCAUGCUCAUACCGCCAUCAGGAAAGAAAGGGGAUUACUUACUAGCAAGCACUCCCCUAUAGAGCAUGGACCUGAAAUUCUGCAGCUAUUGAAGGCAAUACACCUGCCAAAGGCCAUAGCUAUCAUUCAUUGUAGGGGGCAUCAAAGGGACUUAACCCCUAUAGCACAAGGGAAUGGAAAGGCUGACGGAAGCCAAAGCAAAAGCCCUCAGCGUGCAAUCCCAACAGAUCCUAGCACUGCUUCCUUUCUACAAUUCCCCAGUAGAACCCAAAUACACACCACAGGAAGAACAGCUAAUAAAAAAAGCAAGGGAGACAAAAACAAGGAUCCUGGUGGCAUAUGGAGCCAAAAAUAUAUCUCCCUCAGGCAGCCCAGUGGAGAGUUAUAAAAGCCCUGCAUGACUCUUUCCAUGUGGGGAGGGAUGCGGCUCUGGCCAUGGUAAACAAGUUCUUUACUGGGUUUAACUCAGCUUCAAUGGCUAAGCAGGUCUGUCAAGCCUGCUCACUGUGUGCAUUUAACAAUCCAGGCAUCAAAAUGCCCCCUCUAAUAAAACCAGUCCAAAGGAGGGGAACUUAUCCAGGGGAAGACUGGCAGUUAGACGUCAUCCAUAUGCCAGCUUGCAGAGGAUACAAGCUUUUGUUAAUACUAAUAGAUACUUUUAGGUUGGGUCAAAGGUUACCCCAGAAAAGGCUAAUGAGGUUCUAAGGUCCUCUUAAAAGAAAUAAUUCCCCAGUUUGGGUUACCUCAGGGUCUCCAAAGUGAUAAUGGCUAAUCCUUUAUCUCCCAAAUAACUCAAGGGGUUGCUAAGGCUCUUGGAAUAAAAUACUAUUUACAUUCAGCCUGGAGGCCCCAAUCCUCUGGAAAAGUGGAAAGGGUUAACCAAACUCUAAAAUAAGCACUAGCUAAACUAUGUCAGGAAACAUCAGAAACUUGGGUUAGCUUAUUGCUCACAGCCCUUUUAAGAAUUUGUAAUACCCCUAGCUCAAAAAUUAACAGAAGCCCAUAUAAAAUGUUAUACAGAAGGCCAUUCUUAACUAAUGAUUUAAUUAUUGACCCAGAAAGAGUUGGUGUAAUUAAAUACCUAGUCAACCCAGAACAAUUCCAGCGGGUUUACAAGAGUUUGGAAUUCAAAGGCUCCUCACACUUGGAACUAACCAGCAACCCAAAAUCAGGCCAGGAGAUAGGGUACUUGUUAAAACAUGGAAUGAGGGAUCACCUGCCCAACAAUUACAACCCCAAUAGAAGGGACUUUUUUCAGUAAUACUGGCCACGUCUUCUGUGGUCAAAGUACUAGUAUUAGAUAGCUGGAUACAUCUUUCAAGGAUCAAACCAUCAAUACCAGAAGCUCCAGACCAGGAACCUGAAGUUCCCAUCAGCCAGUACACCUGUGAACCAGUGGAGGACCUGAAGUACCUGUUUAAAAGAUAGCCAAAAGAUAAGUAAAUGCCUACCAACUUUCUUUGGUGUCUUUGUUGCAUAGUUACUGUGGGCUGGAAAAUAGUAGCCAUUUUUAUCUUUGCAGUUUAAUUGCCUUCUUCCAAAUAGAUAAAAAUCACUUCCUUUGUAAUAAUUAAACAGAAUUUAAAAAAUACAUUUCUAUGACAAAUAUUCCUGAUGGCAUAAGUAUCCACCCCAAGGUUCCCAUUAAAUCUUUUAACCUAAAGUAUUUCCUCUCACCUAGAGAUCAUCGAGCUGUGUGACAAGGGUGCCAGCCACUCCAGGUGAAGACACCACCCCAGGCCAUCAAGGAUCUUCCCUACCUUCACUAAACAGAGCAGGGUGAAAGUUGUGUGAUCCCCAAUAGGUAGGGACUACACCCCAAGUCAGCAGGAAGCAGUUACAGAAGAAAGACCAUUGGUCCCUCUGCUUCCCAUAAAGAUUUAUGGGGAUCACAGCUUUCACGGGGGAGAUGAGGCAAGAGAAUAGGGCAUGCAGGCAGGGUACUUGAGGCCAAUCCACGCUGACUUCCUAGAACUGAAUUAAAUGAAAGCUCCUCAGCAAUGACAGGAAUGUGAAUGGCUUUGUAACUUCUUCCUCUCCAUUAAUGCUAUUUCCACUUUGUAACUUCACUUUCAUCCUCUCCAUUUACAUAGAUCACACACCAAGUAACAUCCUCUCCAUUUACAGUAGGGCGCAUUCCGAGUCAAUGACUCUGACUGCACUUCGUUCUCCUCAUUUACAUAGAACAUUCGCCAAGUAACCAAUGGGAAACCUCUAGAGUAUUGAAACUCCAGAAAAUUCCGUAAGUGGGGCUCUUGAGCGUCUACACUCGGGUCGCUCCCACACUGUGGCGUGUACUUUUAUUCUCAAUAAAUUCCCGCUUUUGCUUUCCUCGUUC